GACGCGGUGGCUCAUGCCUGUAAUCCCAGCACUUGAGGCAAAGAUGGUCCGGUCCCCUGAGGUCAGGAGUUCGAGACCAGCCUGACCAACAUGGGGAAGCCCCAUCUCUACUAAAAAUACAAAAAAUUAGUCGGGCGUGGCAGCGCAUGCCUGUAAUCCCAGCUAGUCAGGAGCCCGAGGCAGGAGAAUCGCUUGAACCCGGGAGGCAGAGGUUGCAGUGAGCCAAGAUGGUGCCAUUGCACUCCAGCCUGAGCAACAGAGCGAAACUCCGUCUCAGAAAAGAAAAAAAA
rnacentral:lncRNA from 1 species